rnacentral:rRNA from 1 species
CCUACGGGUGGCAGCAGUGGGGAAUAUUGCACAAUGGGGGAAACCCUGAUGCAGCGACGCCGCGUGAGUGAAGAAGUAUUUCGGUACGUAAAGCUCUAUUAGUAGGGAAGAAAAAAGACGGUACCUGACUUAGAAGCCCCGGCUAACUACGUGCCAGCAGCCGCGGUAAUACGUAGGGGGCAAGCGUUAUCCGGAUUUACUGGGUGUAAAGGGAGCGUAGACGGCGCGGCAAGUCUGAAGUGAAAGGCAAGGGCUGAACCCCUGAACUGCUUUGGAAACUGGCAUGCUAGAGUGCUGGAGAGGAAAGUGGAAUUCCUAGUGUAGCGGUGAAAUGCGUAGAUAUAAGGAGGAACACCAGUGGCGAAGGCGGCUUACUGGACAGUAACUGACGUUGAGGCGCGAAAGCGUGGGGAGCAAACAGGAUUAGAUACCCCUGUAGUC